rnacentral:rRNA from 1 species
GAGUUUGAUCGUGGCUCAGAUUGAACGCUGGCGGCAGGCCUAACACAUGCAAGUCGAGCGGUAGAGAGAAGCUUGCUUCUCUUGAGAGCGGCGGACGGGUGAGUAAUGCCUAGGAAUCUGCCUGGUAGUGGGGGAUAACGCUCGGAAACGGACGCUAAUACCGCAUACGUCCUACGGGAGAAAGCAGGGGACCUUCGGGCCUUGCGCUAUCAGAUGAGCCUAGGUCGGAUUAGCUAGUUGGUGAGGUAAUGGCUCACCAAGGCGACGAUCCGUAACUGGUCUGAGAGGAUGAUCAGUCACACUGGAACUGAGACACGGUCCAGACUCCUACGGGAGGCAGCAGUGGGGAAUAUUGGACAAUGGGCGAAAGCCUGAUCCAGCCAUGCCGCGUGUGUGAAGAAGGUCUUCGGAUUGUAAAGCACUUUAAGUUGGGAGGAAGGGCAGUAAAUUAAUACUUUGCUGUUUGACGUUACCGACAGAAUAAGCACCGGCUAACUCUGUGCCAGCACG